rnacentral:rRNA from 1 species
UGGGGGAUAUUGCACAAUGGGCGAAAGCCUGAUGCAGCGACGCCGCGUGGGGGAUGAAGGCUUUCGGGUUGUAAACCUCUUUCGCUAUCGAACAAGGCCCGCUUAGGGUGGGUUGAGGGUAGGUGGAGAAGAAGCGCCGGCUAACUACGUGCCAGCAGCCGCGGUAAUACGUAGGGCGCGAGCGUUGUCCGGAAUUAUUGGGCGUAAAGGGCUUGUAGGCGGCUUGUUGCGCCUGCUGUGAAAACGCGGGGCUUAACUUCGCGCGUGCAGGGGGUAAGGGCAGGCUUGAGUGUGGUAGGGGUGACUGGAAUUCCAGGUGUAGCGGUGGAAUGCGCAGAUAUCUGGAGGAACACCGAUGGCGAAGGCAGGUCACUGGGCCAUUACUGACGCUGAGGAGCGAAAGCAUGGGUAGCGAACAGG